rnacentral:rRNA from 1 species
UACGUAGGGUGCAAGCGUUAUCCGGAAUUAUUGGGCGUAAAGAGCGUGUAGGCGGUUUGGUAGGUCCGUUGUGAAAACUCGAGGCUCAACCUCGAGACGCCGAUGGAAACCAUCAGACUAGAGUCCGGAAGAGGAGAGUGGAAUUCCUGGUGUAGCGGUGAAAUGCGCAGAUAUCAGGAAGAACACCCGUGGCUAAGGCGGCUCUCUAGUACGGUACUGACGCUGAGACGCGAAAGCGUGGGGAGCGAACAGG